rnacentral:rRNA from 1 species
CCUUGAGACCCCUACGGGAGGCAGCAGUAGGGAAUCUUCGGCAAUGGACGGAAGUCUGACCGAGCAACGCCGCGUGAGUGAAGAAGGUUUUCGGAUCGUAAAGCUCUGUUGUAAGAGAAGAACGAGUGUGAGAGUGGAAAGUUCACACUGUGACGGUAUCUUACCAGAAAGGGACGGCUAACUACGUGCCAGCAGCCGCGGUAAUACGUAGGUCCCGAGCGUUAUCCGGAUUUAUUGGGCGUAAAGCGAGCGCAGGCGGUUAGAUAAGUCUGAAGUUAAAGGCUGUGGCUUAACCAUAGUACUCGUUGGAAACUGUUUAACUUGAGUGCAAGAGGGGAGAGUGGAAUUCAAUGUGUAGCGGUGAAAUGCGUAGAUAUAUGGAGGAAAACCGGUGGCGAAAGCGGCUCUCUGGCUUGUAACUGACGCUGAGGCUCGAAAGCGUGGGGAGCAAACAGGAUUAGAUACCCCGGUAGUCCAGAAGUG